rnacentral:rRNA from 1 species
AUGCCGACAAGCACACCUUUGCACACCAGCAGAAGCAACACUCAAGCAGAUGAAACAGCCGCCAAUACUGAAGUAAAUGAUGAAGCACAAGGGGAUGAAGAAGAUGGGCAAUCAGAAAUCAUGGUACCUCAGCCACCAUAUGUUGGGCAGAGAUUUGAUUUGUUUGCAGAUGCCAAGGAAUUCUACCAAACAUAUGCAAUGUUCCAUGGGUUUGCGGUGAACACCGAAUACCAUAGGAAAAUUAAAAAAACUAACGAGUACAGCAAAGGUGAGACAAGGUGGUACAAGGCACAAAGGAACAAGAAGGGGAAAGGUGUUGCCUCUGUCGUGCCGGAACGAAAGAGAGGUAUCAUUGUCAAGACAGAAUGCCAUGUCCGGUGCAAGCUAAACGCAGAUGGAGCACAGUGGGUGGUCACCGACUAUUUAGACGAACACAACCACAAACUCAUAAAGAAGUUUGAUUUGGUAAAAUUUCUGAGCGCCCACAGAGGAUUCAGCCCCCUCGAGAAGAAAUUCGUAAAGUUGCUACAUGAUUGUAAUGUCGGUCCGUCAAGAAUGGUCAAAAUGCUGUCCCUGAUCCACAGCGGAGAUGGUAGGGAGAGUAGCAUGCCCUACAUACCAUCAGACAUCACAAACCUAAAGGCAAAGCACCGUAGAGAGAGCAGGUUGGCUCACAUAGAAGCCACGAUAGCCUACUUUGAAGAGAAAGCAAAAGCAUAUGCUGAUUUCUUCUACAAGAUAACAUUGGACGAUGAGGACCGUGUCAGAAAUAUGUAUUGGGUGGAUGUUGCUGCAAGAAGGGCCUACAAACAUUUCCGUGAUUGCAUAUCAUUCGACGCGCCAUAUCUCACUAAUAUGUACAAGAUGCCCUGCGCUCCAUUCAUAGGAAUAAAUAACCACAAUUAG